UGUCUUGCCCAAGGACACUUCGACAUGUGGGCUAGGGGAAACCGGGAUCGGACCCAAAACGCUCUAAAUCAUUCAGUGAGGGAGUCUCUCCUGUUACCCUAAAAGCAAUCCUAAAAAAAGAAUCUGUAUUCAUCUCUGAUAAUCAGUUUGGGUUUAAAAGAAAACAUGGCACUGAUAUGUGUAUUUAUGCUCUAAAGGAAAUAGUUGCUAAAUAUGGAAGCCAAAAUUACACUGUAUUUAUGUGUUUUAUUGAUGCAUCCAAGGCCUUUGACAGAAUUAAUCAUGAAAAAUUCUUUCUGAAAUUGUUUGCUAGUGGUGUUCCAAAAUAUAUACUUAGAAUACUAGUAUUCUGGUAUGCCCAUCAAACACUGAGGGUUAUAUGGGACAAUGUUGUAUCUGCCCGAUUUCAUGUAAAUAAUGGUGUUCGCCAAGGUGGAAUUCUGUCUCCUAUUUUGUUCAAUGUGUAUAUGGAUGACCUAUGGAUGACCAAGACAAGUCUUGUUGGAAACUGUUAUCAAUCAUCUUAUGUAUACUGAUGACCUGGGAAUUUUUGGGAUUCGAUCACCAGGCAGUGCUUUCUCAACCCACGCCCUCCCCACUAUUGUCGCUUGAGCCCCCAAAUCUAUUAGCAUUUGAUGGGGAACACCAUUGACUGAACAAGAAAUCAUACAUCGCUUCCCAAUAAGUUGGGCUACACGCUUUUUUGGAAUUGGCCUAUGUGGUGUAUUCGAUUUUAGGUGUUUGCCUGUUGUGACUGGCUGCCCCUUUCCAGUGACCUCAUCCCAUUUCCCGUCAGAUUAUCAGAGGUUAGAACAGACAUUUCCAACCUUGUUAGCAGGAUUCUUUCCAGCACUUUAGGGUUAGUUAUACUGAGAUAAUGCCCCCAGAUGUUGUUUCCGGUAUGUGGCAGGGGGACACGGCUAUGAGAGACAAGGACGUGCCAUGGUUGGCAGCAUUGCAGUUGUGUUCUAGAGAUGAUAACUCACUUUAUGCUAGAACACCCAAGUUUACCACAGAGGACAUCAGGGCUUCCCAAAAAUGGGAUACAUCUGUGAGGUGAUAACACUAAAAAGGAAUGGAUGGAACCCUAACGAUAAAGACAAGAGACACGGAGACUGAUACAUGAAUAGAACAGACUCAGACUGGAUAAGGGAAUUUUGUACAGGCAGGUAGGACAACAUAAACAACUGGUUCAUUCACCUGAAACUGACCUUUGUUUCCACGAUGGCCCAGUAAUCAGGCCUAUUGUUUUCUGAAACUAGGCAGGGUAAACAGUACUCAGGAAGAUUCCUCCCUGAGGGCAGGGCUUAAGCAACACACACAUAGUAGCUUAAAUUCCUGAGUUCUCGAACCAUUUUCACAGUUGAGAAUGACUUCUGGAUGGGAGCCGAAACAUCUUGAAUUUGAAAACAUUGUCCAGAUGACUACAACUGAAACCUUUUCUACAAUGGAACACUCCUGGAUGAAUGAGGGACUACACCGUUUUGUAGAUUCAUAUUUUUUGCACUGUUUACUGAUAGAUAUUUAGUUGGGUAAUCCAAUCAGUUCAGUAUUCAUUGUGCAUAUCAAAGAAAAGGAGUGAGAUGAAGCUUGGUCUCACUAAAGGCAUUUAGCAAUAUAUGUUGAUUCCAAUCAGAAAUAAUGCAAUGGUGAUGAUACAUUGAAAUUUGGUUUUGUGAAUUCACACUAUUCACACUGGCUAACUUAAUAUUAACUUGGUGCAUUAAACAUUAACAGUGACAGUAAAAUACAUAAUUUGGUUUAAUUUACCAUAAUAAAAAAGUACUACUAUUGUGUUAGUGUGUUAUCUUAACAUGUUAAUUCCAGCAAAAACAGAUUGAAAUUAACGUGAGCUUUUUACGUGAGGUUUGUUUCAUAUUACAGUGGUAAAGAUUGAUAGCGUCACGAUCAACAGAGAGAUACUGGAAAGAUUAAAUGCUGAUUCUCUCACCAUGCUGCACCCACACAAUACCAUACAAUCUAAGUCUGGAUCAUCAGUCCAGCGUGGGGCUUAGAUAGCCAUAGACCACGAGGACCAACCUCAGUGUGGAUGAUAUCUGGGUUGUUCUGAGGUGAAGAACCUUUUCUGACCAGUCCCUACCAGUAAGCGCAGUACCAGAAGUCCUCUUCUUCCAGUGCAGUUGAGUGACCUGAGGUGGUCACCAGCAUCCAGCUCAGACCUGCAUGUCAUCACUGCCCUUCACACUACAUUACCUGCCUCACCCAGCGAUGCAGGUGGAACAGCUGCUGCCAGUCAAGGGAAGACAGACAACGCCUGCAGCAGCUUAAGGAUAUAACUCCUAAUAUGAAGCCCACCAGGUCUUCUAGUGAUGUGCUUCCUUCUUCUCUGUUUAAGCAGGUACUUGACUCAAUUGGCCCAAGUAUUCUGUCUAUUAUAAAUAUUAGUUUGUCAUCUGGUGUUGUUCUGGUUAGUUUUAAGCACGCGGUUAUUCAGCCCCUUUUAAAAAAACCCCAGCUUAGAUCCAUUUGACAUGAGUAGUUUUCGUCCGAUUUCAAAAUUGCCUUUUAUUUCAAAAAUACUAGAAAAAAUUGUGCACGCACAGCUUAAUGACUUUUUAAUUAGGAAUAACAUCUGCGAUAGAUUCCAGUCAGGUUUUAGAGUUGGUCAUAGUACAGAAUCGGCUCUUUUGAGGGUGUCUAAUGACAUCCUUCAAGGUGUUGAUUCUGGUAACUAUGUUGUCUUGCUCUUGUUAGAUCUUACAGCGGCAUUUGAUACAGUUGAUCAUAACAUUCUCAUUGAUUGUCUUAGAUAUCAGGUUGGUAUUCAGGGCUUAGCCCUAAAAUGGUUCUCUUCCUAUUUAAAGAAUAGGACUUUUUCAGUCAGCUUAGGGGAUUAUUUUUCUUCCAUUGCCCCCCUUGUGUGUGGGGUUCCACAGGGCUCAAUACUGGGACCAAUUUUAUUUUUUCCCUUUAUAUGCUCCCUCUAGGUUCUAUUUUUGAGAAAUUCGGGAUUCAGUAUCAUCUUUAUGCAGAUGAUUCUCAAAUUUAUGUACCACUAAAACAUGGGCAUAAUAGUGCCAUUCAGUCUCUUCAUGCAUGUUUGCCAGAAGUUAAGUGCUGGCUUGCAAAUAACUUUCUCCAAUUAAAUGAGGAUAAGACUGAGAUCAUUUUAUUUGGAAAUAAGGGGUGUGUGGAUGUUGACUGCCUGGGGUUGUUUCCUGGGAAAAAACUGUCUAGCGUGAGGAACCUUGGUGUCAUUUUUGACUCUGAGCUCAAAUGUGAGCAGCAAAUCAAUGCAGUUGUUAAGAAUAGUUUCUUCCAUCUUAGAUCAAUAUCUAAAUUGAAAUCUAUUCUUACUUUUAAUGAUAUGGAGAAGGUUGUUCAUGCCUUUGUGUCUUCACGUUUGGAUUAUUGUAAUGUAUUGUAUUUGGGUGUGAGUCAGGCUUCUCUCUCCCGUUUGCAGCUUGUUCAGAACUCAGCUGCUAGACUUUUAACGGGUACUAAGAAGAGAGAACACAUUACUCCGGUUUUAAUUAACCUACAUUGGUUACCCAUAUGAUACAGAAUUCAAUACAAGUCUCUGCAUGGUCUAGCCCCUGAGUAUGUUACUGAUUUAAUCAGCUGCUGUCAAUCCAGCAGAUCUCUGUGCUCAAAUGAUCAGUUGCUUCUUGUGGUUCCACGUACGCGUCUAAAAUGUAAAGGUGAUCAGGCGUUUUCUGUUGCAGCUCCUAGGCUAUGGAAUGACCUCCCUCUGUCUCUAAAAACUUGUCCUUCAUUGGGUGGUUUUCAGAGUGCGCUUAAAACUUAUUUGUUUUCUUUAGCUCUUGACAAUGCUUUGUACAUGUGUAUGUCAUAUGUUUGUUUUCUGUUUUUUCUGUUCUUUUUUAUAUUUUGUGUACAGCACUUUGGUUCCA